CGGGUGAGUAACACGUGAGCAACCUGCCCCUGACUCUGGGAUAAGCCCGGGAAACUGGGUCUAAUACCGGAUACGACCGCCCCCGGCAUCGGGUGGUGGUGGAAAGUUUUUUCGGUUGGGGAUGGGCUCGCGGCCUAUCAGCUUGUUGGUGGGGUAGUGGCCUACCAAGGCGACGACGGGUAGCCGGCCUGAGAGGGCGACCGGCCACACUGGGACUGAGACACGGCCCAGACUCCUACGGGAGGCAGCAGUGGGGAAUAUUGCGCAAUGGGCGGAAGCCUGACGCAGCGACGCCGCGUGGGGGAUGACGGCCUUCGGGUUGUAAACCUCUUUCAGCAGGGACGAAGUUGACGUGUACCUGCAGAAGAAGCGCCGGCUAACUACGUGCCAGCAGCCGCGGUAAUACGUAGGGCGCAAGCGUUGUCCGGAAUUAUUGGGCGUAAAGAGCUCGUAGGUGGCUGGUCGCGUCUGCCGUGAAAGCCCGCAGCUUAACUGCGGGUCUGCGGUGGAUACGGGCCGGCUAGAGGUAGGUAGGGGCAAGUGGAAUUCCUGGUGUAGCGGUGAAAUGCGCAGAUAUCAGGAGGAACACCGGUGGCGAAGGCGGCUUGCUGGGCCUUACCUGACGCUGAGGAGCGAAAGCGUGGGGAGCGAACAGGAUUAGAUACCCUGGUAGUCCACGC
rnacentral:rRNA from 1 species